CUUCAAUCCUUGCAACAAACCUGUGGCAGUGAGUCAUUAAAACAUCAUUGCCACAUGUCUGUUGUGAGGGUCAAGGGA
rnacentral:pre_miRNA from 11 species